AUUGAACGCUGGCGGCAUGCUUUACACAUGCAAGUCGAACGGUAACAGGGUGCUUGCACCGCUGACGAGUGGCGAACGGGUGAGUAAUGCGUCGGAACGUGCCGAGUAGUGGGGGAUAACGCAUCGAAAGUUGUGCUAAUACCGCAUACGUACUGAGGUAGAAAGUGGGGGACCUUCGGGCCUCACGCUAUUCGAGCGGCCGACGUCUGAUUAGCUAGUAGGUGAGGUAAAGGCUCACCUAGGCGACGAUCAGUAGCGGGUCUGAGAGGAUGAUCCGCCACACUGGGACUGAGACACGGCCCAGACUCCUACGGGAGGCAGCAGUGGGGAAUUUUGGACAAUGGGCGAAAGCCUGAUCCAGCCAUGCCGCGUGUCUGAAGAAGGCCUUCGGGUUGUAAAGGACUUUUGUCGGGGAGGAAAUCCCCAGCGCUAAUACCGCUGGGGGAUGACAGUACCUGAAGAAUAAGCACCGGCUAACUACGUGCCAGCCGCCGCCGUAAUAC
rnacentral:rRNA from 1 species